rnacentral:rRNA from 1 species
AAUUGAACGCUGGCGGCAGGCUUAACACAUGCAAGUCGAGCGGUAGCACAGGGGAGCUUGCUCCCUGGGUGACGAGCGGCGGACGGGUGAGUAAUGUCUGGGAAACUGCCUGAUGGAGGGGGAUAACUACUGGAAACGGUAGCUAAUACCGCAUAACGUCGCAAGACCAAAGAGGGGGACCUUCGGGCCUCUUGCCAUCAGAUGUGCCCAGAUGGGAUUAGCUAGUAGGUGGGGUAAUGGCUCACCUAGGCGACGAUCCCUAGCUGGUCUGAGAGGAUGACCAGCCACACUGGAACUGAGACACGGUCCAGACUCCUACGGGAGGCAGCAGUGGGGAAUAUUGCACAAUGGGCGCAAGCCUGAUGCAGCCAUGCCGCGUGUGUGAAGAAGGCCUUCGGGUUGUAAAGCACUUUCAGCGAGGAGGAAGGUGGUGAGCUUAAUACGUUCAUCAAUUGACGUUACUCGCAGAAGAAGCACCGGCUAACUCCGUGCCAGCAGCCGCGGUAAUACGGAGGGUGCAAGCGUUAAUCGGAAUUACUGGGCGUAAAGCGCACGCAGGCGGUUUG